rfam:Lupinus angustifolius cultivar Tanjil contig_32159, whole genome shotgun sequence.
AUAUUUUCUUGGCCUUUUGGCUAAGAUUGAGUGUAGUAUUUAUUUUUAUUAAUUUAAUAUCUAAUACGUAAGUCAUUAACUCACCGGAUAUUAAAUAAUUUUUUUAAAGGGAGAGACCAUCAUAUUAAAUUGCUAUUUGGUCUUUCAUGUGUUGCCUUAGCAAUGUAUUAAAGUUUUGGCUUGGCGUACCCUCC